rnacentral:rRNA from 1 species
GACGAACCGUGCGAACGUUGUUCGGAAUCACUGGGCUUAAAGGGCGCGUAGGCGGCGAUUCAAGUCAGGGGUGAAAUCCGGCAGCUUAACUGUCGAAGUGCCUUUGAUACUGAAUUGCUUGAGGGAGGUAGGGGUCUGUGGAACUAGUGGUGGAGCGGUGAAAUGCGUUGAUAUCACAAGGAACGCCGGUGGCGAAAGCGACAGACUGGAUCUCUUCUGACGCUGAGGCGCGAAAGCUAGGGGAGCAAACGGG